AUGAUAACACUGCCAUGAUUCUGGGCCAGGAACUAUCACACACUUGCAGAAGGGAGCCGGAGGAAGAAAAAAGCCCUCCUCUAUUGGCCCUUAGCUACUCACUCCCUUCCUAGAGCAAGUGUGUUGGGGACAGAUUCAUUCUUUUUGUGCUAAGAGGAAGAUCUCAGUUUAGCUAUGCUGUUGGCCUUGAGGCUUUAGGUAUCAAGAAGAGAUUAUUACAGAGAUCAAACUGAAUGCUGAUGCAAGGGAGUAUCUCAUGCCUUUGGAGAAUUUGAAAAGGGAAAAGGAACAUUACUCAGCCAGCAACAUCCAUUAACCCAUUGGGCUUGGAAUUUAUGAUUCUACUGUGUCAGCAGUGGGAAAGAAAAGGUGCAGUGUUAAACAACAGUAGAUGACUGAUGGAAUUUGUAAACAGUCAGUACAAAGACAGAUGAAAUGAAGAGUAUCAAAAGUUGCACACAUUCAAAGUAUGCAAAGAGGCAAAAGAAAAAAAGGGGAGCAGCAAAGAUGCAAGAAAAUCAAAGAAUUUGAAAUCAGACACAAACACAAAGAAAUUCAUCACAUUAUAAAAAGACCCAUGAGACUAAUAAGUCAAGAAAAGGAGUUAGCCGUGUUAAAAACUAAGGACUGCUGAGUAUUCUGUGAAAUCAACAGCAUCCUGUAACAUGGAUGAAAUACCUUCAUUAACUUUCAUCUUAAAAUAAACUGGAAAUGUAACCAUCAGAAGAGGAGAAGAAAAACCAUUGUAGAAAUUACAGUGUGGGAACAAGAAAGAACACUGAAAAGUAUAAAGUGAGGAAAAGCAGUUGGGAAGAAUGAUAUUGUGGUUGAAAUGCUACAAACCUACCUGAAGAUUCAAAAUCUUACCUCCUAACAUUUUUCAAUUGAAUUAUAUACACAGGAACUUCCAGAGAACUUCAAAAGAUCAUCUCAUUUCUCUAUCAAAAAUUAAAAUUAGAGAAUGUGAAUAACACUAAACUAUAAGCCUGAUAAGCUACCCACACAAAGUUUGAAAAUAACCAGCACACACAUAUAUCACCAUAAAAAGGCAAGAAUUAGUAGAAGUCACUUUGAUUUCCAGCCAGGAAUAGGCAUGAGGCAAUAUGCCCUGAGGUUCUUGAGGGAGCAUGCAACAGAAGCACAAGUGGAAAUUUAUAUGAGCUUUGUCAAUUUUGAGAAGACAUUUGAUUAAAUAUAGCAUGACAAGAUGAUACAUACUCUUGAAGAAUGGAUUGACUUUCAAGACCCAUAAUGAAUCCAAAGCUUAUUCUGGGGACAGAAAGCAGCAAUAUGAACAAGCUAUGCAACAUCAAGAAAGGUUUAUGCCAAGGCUGCAUCCUAACUUGAAACUAUUACAGAAGGACUGGCGAGGGAAAGUUUAGAAGGCACCAACCAGGACAUAGGGGUCAGUAGCAUAUACUUAAACAAAAUAAGAUCUGCAAAUGUUUGUAUCACUUUAAGAAAGGAAAAACUUCAGAACAUACUUACUACUGUGAAUACUGCCAGUGAAAAUAUGUAACAACAAUUAAUGUUAGAAAGACGAAG